CCUGGUUUAAUCCUCAGUGUGAUGGUAGGAAAUGUCCCCAUUGACCCUAUCUGGUUGCCCUGUUUGGGGAAACUAUAUAACUUUUAGGAUGUGGGGCCCAGCUGGGGGAAGUAGGCAGGCCUGGAGGAUGAGAGCCGGGUGCAGCACCCAUUCAUUCUCCUGUCUGCUUCUGGGCUUACUGACAGAGUAUAAGUAGUCUGCUGACCUAGUGCUGCUGCCUCCCGCUCUCCCAGGAUGAUUGGCUGGGAAACCAAUCAUCAAGUUGCAAAUCCAAAAGAAUCCAUCUUUCAGGCUUUUUACCGCUGCUGGUUAUAUUCAGCACUUCAGCUAAGAGACAAACUCACAGGAUCACAGAAAGGAGAGACACACGCCUUUGUCAGGCUUACUCAUAUGGCCCUUUAAGAUCACUCAUGUCUCUGAGUCUAUUGGUGCAGACCUGUAAUCCCAGGACAUGAGGUAGGAGGAUCAGAGGGUCAAUUCGAGGCCUGGGUAAUAUGGGAAUGAGGUCCUGUCUCAGAAAUAAGGGGGGAACCAUCAUUCACAUCCAGUUAUUUGUCACCAGCUCUAGACUCACAGAGGGACUUUCCUUUGGGGAAGACAUGAAAUCGAUUCCUGGAAUGCUGGAUCAGGGAGCCAAUCAGUCUCUCAGGACAGGACCACCCCUGAAUGAAGUGAUGAAGAAUGAUCUGGACCUGCCCAGCUUUAAAACAGACACAUAAUUCCUUCUGAGAAGGAAAAAAGGCAGCCAGCAAGCAGGCUCAGAAAGCAUAAAGGAGAGGGAUGUAGACUGUAAGAGCAGGAAGACAACAGGAAAUGCUUGAAAUGCUAUCUUCUGGACACCACACAGCUGUUGCACUCCUGAACUCACAGCUAUGAUUAUCUGCAGGAGAUCAAGCCCGUCAACAUCCCAGCGUGGAUGCAAGAGGAACUCAGAGGCUUCAACCCAGCAGGCGAUCUUUUGGCAGUUGAUGGCUGCUGGAAGAGGGAGAGUCUUUUCUCUUGAGGGCGGGUGGUUGCUGGUAGGCUGCCCAUGCUAUCACAGAGCACCCCUCACCCAUGAGCACACAAGCAGCACUAAGUGGACUCAGUGGGUUAUUAAAAAUAAAGAGGAUAUGAG
rnacentral:lncRNA from 1 species